rnacentral:tRNA from 1 species
GGCUGGGUAGCUCAGGUGGUCAGAGCGCACGACUCAUAAUCGUGAGGUCGCGGGUUCGAGUCCCGCCCCAGCUA